UAGUCAUUACCAAGGCUUUUAGAAUGAAGUUUCUCAUUUCUGUGGACAUGAACAUAAAAAAGUUUCCCACCAGGUUUUCUGUCUGCUACCUUGUUAGCAAUCAACCUGUUGGGAGCAUUA
rnacentral:snoRNA from 1 species